UACGUAGGGGGCUAGCGUUGUCCGGAAUCAUUGGGCGUAAAGAGCGUGUAGGCGGUCCGGUAAGUCCGCUGUGAAAGUCGGGGGCUCAACCCUGGGAUGCCGGUGGAUACUGUCGGGCUCGAGUCCGGAAGAGGAGUGUGGAAUUCCUGGUGUAGCGGUGAAAUGCGCAGAUAUCAGGAGGAACACCAAUGGCGAAGGCAGCACUCUGGGACGUGACUGACGCUGAGACGCGAAAGCGUGGGGAGCAAACAGG
rnacentral:rRNA from 1 species